rnacentral:rRNA from 1 species
GACGAACGCUGGCGGCGUGCCUAAUACAUGCAAGUAGAACGCUGAAGAGAGGAGCUUGCUCUUCUUGGAUGAGUUGCGAACGGGUGAGUAACGCGUAGGUAACCUGCCUUGUAGCGGGGGAUAACUAUUGGAAACGAUAGCUAAUACCGCAUAACAAUGGAUGACACAUGUCAUUUAUUUGAAAGGGGCAAUUGCCCCACUACAAGAUGGACCUGCGUUGUAUUAGCUAGUAGGUGAGGUAAUGGCUCACCUAGGCGACGAUACAUAGCCGACCUGAGAGGGUGAUCGGCCACACUGGGACUGAGACACGGUCCAGACUCCUACGGGAGGCAGCAGUAGGGAAUCUUCGGCAAUGGGGGCAACCCUGACCGAGCAACGCCGCGUGAGUGAAGAAGGUUUUCGGAUCGUAAAGCUCUGUUGUAAGUCAAGAACGGGUGUGAGAGUGGAAAGUUCACACUGUGACGGUAGCUUACCAGAAAGGGACGGCUAACUACGUG